GAUGAAGAACGCAGCGAAAUGCGAUAAUUAAUGUGAAUUGCAGAAUUUAGUGAAUCAUCGAAUCUUUGAACGCACAUUGCGCCCGCCAGUAUUCUGGCGGGCAUGCCUGUUCGAGCGUCAUUUCAACCAUCAAGCCCUGCUUGCGUUGGGGUCCUGCGGCUGCCCGCAGGCCCUGAAAACCAGUGGCGGGCUCGCUAGUCACACCGAGCGCAGUAAUACAUCUCGCUUUGGGCGUGCGGCGGGUUCUUGCCGUUAAACACCCCCUUUUUACCAAGGUUGACCUCGGAUCAGGUAGGAAUACCCGCUGAACUUAAGCAUAUCAAUAAGCGGAGGA
rnacentral:misc_RNA from 1 species